AGGGGGCGGGCCUACCAUGGCAAGUCGAGGGUUGGAUUAAGACCUUGGUCUUAUGAAGUUAGAGGCGGACGGGUGACUAGUCGUGGGUAACCUGCCCCUAAGACUGGCUUAACUCCGGGAAACCUGGGCUAAUACCGGGUAACAUUUUGAACCGUUGGAUUCGAACUUGACAGGUUACUUCGGUUGUCACUUAUGGAUGGACCCGCGUCACAAUACCUAGCUGGUGAGGUAACGGCUCCCCACGGCCUGGAUGCGUAACCGACCUGAGACGCCGAUCGGACACACUGGGACUGAAACACGGACCAGACUCCUACGGGAGGCACCAGUAUGGAAUCUUCCGCAAUGGACGAAUGUCUGACGAAACCUCUCCCCGUGAAUGAUAAAGGCUUUCGGGUCGGAAAACUCUGCUGUUAUAAAAUAACGACUGCUAGCUGAAUAAUCUGGCACCUUGACGGUACCUAACCAGAGAGCCACGGCUAACUACGUGCCAGCAGCCGCGGUAAUACGUAGGUGGCACGCGUUAUCCGGACUUAUUGGUCCUUUAGCGAGCGCACGUGGAUUCUGAGGUCUGAUGUUGAAGCCCUCGGCUCAUCCGUGUAAGGUCAUUGGAUACUGGGAAACUUGAGUGCGGAAGAGGAAAGUGGAUGUCCAUGUGUAGAGGCGAAAAUGCCUACAGAUAGGGAGAGAACACCAGUGUAGAAAGCGAGUUUCUGCUCUGUAACUGACACUGAUGCUCGAUGGCGUGGGGAUCACACAGGAUUACAUACCCUGCUAGUCCACGCCUUAGACUAGGAGUGCUAGCUGCUAGAGUGAUUCCGCCCUUUAGUGCUGGAGGUCACCGCAUUACGCACUCCGCCUUGUGGGUAUUACUUCCACCAGCCUGAAACUCCAUAUAGCCAUUGACUUGGCGUCGCGCACGAUGGCGGUGCAGCAUGAUGGGUUUACCUUCGCAUGCAACUGGAAUACACAUACCGAGGCUGCUUGGCAUCCUCUGACCAUCCUGAGCAGAGUAGUGGCUUGCUUCUUUCGGGCAGCAGACGUUGACACGUCGCUGCAUGGUUUGGUCUGUCAGCUUCGUGGUCUGGACAUGUUUGGAGUGACUCCCGGCAACAAGCGCAA
rnacentral:rRNA from 1 species